UGGAUCUUCUUAUGUGGCAACUCUUAGUGUGACAUAUAUGGCUGUUGAAUAAGUAUGCCUUUCACAUGUAAGCUGCACUCGAUGCGACAGUGACCAUUGAACCUGAUUAUAAACACGCAGACUUACAGCGAUCGUAGUCAUGUAUCAAAGGAAUCCCACUGAUAACACAAUAAUCACCGAUAACUCGUCCAAAACCACGAUUUAAAUUCCCAACUUUGAAAGUGACUCACUCCGUUCAGGACCCACGUGCGUUGCCAUGUGAACAUUGACCAUGUUUGUGUAGUGAAUGUGUUCUCCAGAAACGAAACUUUCCUCCGUCAGUAAAUGGAUGAAAGCUCGUUUCGUUAAGUUUCGUUUCCAGAAGCGCCUUCCCACAUCUAGUCCACUAUUUAAACUCCAUGCGGGCUGGUAGUGCAAAGACUAGGCGACACCAUGGGACUGAGUUGGAGUACUUCGUCAAAUGAGCCUGAUGUGAGAGCGAUGGGGUUCACCUCAGAUGGGAUAACAAAAGGAUCCUGGGCUGCAGAUAUGAUGUCAUCUGAAGCCACCGACAAUGGAGGAGGGGUGCCAUCAGGGGGCCCGGUAUCUAACUAUCAGUCAAAAGGGGCGGGCGGACAUGGUGGAAAAAACUAAUAACCAAAUAACAAAACCAUGAAAUAAAUAAUAAUAUUGGUCUAUUAAACUGUGUUCUGAAUGCAUUUUCUGUGUGAUUAAAAUCGCCUUUUAACAUUUACUUGAGUAAAAAUUACAAAAUUUGCACACAAA